UGCAGAAUCCCGUGAACCAUUGAGUUUUUGAACGCAAGUUGCGCCCGAGGCCAUUCGGUCGAGGGCACGUCUGCCUGGGCGUCA
rnacentral:rRNA from 2 species